UUCCUGUUUCUCUUCUCCCUGUUCUAGUCCUUCAUACCUUCAAAGUCUGUCUCCAGCUUUGAAGUAAGGGAACAAACCAACCUGAAGUUGGAGACAGACUUUGAGGGUAUGAAGGGCUGGAACAGGGAGAA